GGCGUGGCUUAGUGGUAAAGCUCCCCCUCCUUCACUGAAGGUCUCAGGUUCGAAGCCUGGCUUGGCCA